UAAUGUCUUCGGACCAAAGAUUUAUUGCCUUUAGAUGGGCCCGCGUUGGAUUAGAUAGUUGGUGGGGUAAUGGCCUACCAAGUCGACGAUCCAUAGCUGGUCUGAGAGGAUGAUCAGCCACACUGGGACUGAGACACGGCCCAGACUCCUACGGGAGGCAGCAGUGGGGAAUAUUGGACAAUGGGCGAAAGCCUGAUCCAGCAAUGCCGCGUGAGUGAUGAAGGCCUUAGGGUUGUAAAGCUCUUUUACCAGGGAUGAUAAUGACAGUACCUGGAGAAUAAGCUCCGGCUAACUCCGUGCCAGCAGCCGCGGUAAUACGGAGGGAGCUAGCGUUGUUCGGAAUUACUGGGCGUAAAGCGCACGUAGGCGGCUUUUCAAGUCAGGGGUGAAAUCCCGGGGCUCAACCCCGGAACUGCCCUUGAAACUGGAUGGCUAGAAUACUGGAGAGGUGAGUGGAAUUCCGAGUGUAGAGGUGAAAUUCGUAGAUAUUCGGAAGAACACCAGUGGCGAAGGCGACUCACUGGACAGUUAUUGACGCUGAGGUGCGAAAGCGUG
rnacentral:rRNA from 1 species